UACGUAGGGUGCAAGCGUUGUCCGGAAUUACUGGGCGUAAAGAGCUCGUAGGUGGUUUGUCGCGUUGUCCGUGAAAUUCCCUAGCUUAACUGGGGGCGUGCGGGCGAUACGGGCAGGCUAGAGUUCGGUAGGGGAGACUGGAAUUCCUGGUGUAGCGGUGAAAUGCGCAGAUAUCAGGAGGAACAGCCGGUGGCGAAGGCGGGUCUCUGGGCCGAUACUGACGCUGAGGAGCGAAAGCGUGGGGGAGCGAACAGG
rnacentral:rRNA from 1 species